rnacentral:rRNA from 1 species
GACGAACGCUGGCGGCGUGCCUAAUACAUGCAAGUAGGACGCAGUUGCGAACGGGUGAGUAACGCGUAGGUAACUGCCUAUUAGAGGGGGAUAACUAUUGGAAACGAUAGCUAAUACCGCAUACUAGUAGAUGGACCUGCGUUGUAUUAGCUAGUAGGUAGGGUAAUGGCCUACCUAGGCAACGAUACAUAUCCGACCUGAGAGUGUGAUCGGCCACACGUGGACUGGGAGACAGCCCUGACUGCUACGGGAGGCAGCAGUAGGGAAUCUUCGGCAAUUGGGGGAACCCUGGCCGAGCAACGCCGAGUGAGUGAAGAAGGUUUUCGGAUCGUAAAGCUCUGUUGUUAAGGAAGCGGUACUUAACCAGAAAGGGACGGCUAACUACGUGCCAGCAGCCGCGGUAAUAC